rfam:Chelonia mydas contig150127, whole genome shotgun sequence.
GGAUGGAUAGCUCAGUGGUUUGAGCACUGGUCUGCUAAACCCAGGGUUGUAAACUCAAUCCU